rnacentral:rRNA from 1 species
GACGAACGCUGGCGGCGUGCUUAACACAUGCAAGUCGAACGGAAAGGCCCUGCUUUUGUGGGGUGCUCGAGUGGCGAACGGGUGAGUAACACGUGAGUAACCUGCCCUUGACUUUGGGAUAACUUCAGGAAACUGGGGCUAAUACCGGAUAGGAGCUCCUGCUGCAUGGUGGGGGUUGGAAAGUUUCGGCGGUUGGGGAUGGACUCGCGGCUUAUCAGCUUGUUGGUGGGGUAGUGGCUUACCAAGGCUUUGACGGGUAGCCGGCCUGAGAGGGUGACCGGCCACAUUGGGACUGAGAUACGGCCCAGACUCCUACGGGAGGCAGCAGUGGGGAAUAUUGCACAAUGGGAGGAAGCCUGAUGCAGCAACGCCGCGUGCGGGAUGACGGCCUUUGGGUUGUAAACCGCUUUCGCCUGUGACGAAGCGUGAGUGACGGUAAUGGGUAAAGAAGCACCGGCUAACUACGUG